GAUGAACGCUGGCGGCGUGCCUAAUACAUGCAAGUCGAGCGAACAGACGAGGAGCUUGCUCCUCUGACGUUAGCGGCGGACGGGUGAGUAACACGUGGAUAACCUACCUAUAAGACUGGGAUAACUUCGGGAAACCGGAGCUAAUACCGGAUAAUAUAUUGAACCGCAUGGUUCAAUAGUGAAAGACGGUUUUGCUGUCACUUAUAGAUGGAUCCGCGCCGCAUUAGCUAGUUGGUAAGGUAACGGCUUACGAAGGCGACGAUGCAUAACCGACCUGAGAGGGUGAUCGGCCCCACUGGAACAGAGACACGGUCAAGACGCCUACGAGAGGCAGCAGUAGGGGAUCUUCCGCAAUGGGCGAAAGCCUGACGGAGCAACGCAGCGUGAGUGAUGAAGGUCUUCGGAUCGUAAAACUCUGUUAUUAGGGAAGAACAAAUGUGUAAGUAACUAUGCACAUCUUGACGGUACCUAAUCAGAAAGCCACGGCUAACUACGUG
rnacentral:rRNA from 1 species